AGCAACAAUUUACGUCAAGCUACUAUAAAUCCAUUAAAAUUACCUUUUCAUAUAAGAAGUAUCCUUUCAAUAAAAUUCUCUUAUUUCAAAAACCUGCUUAUGUUAGUUUAAAGAAAGGUUAACCAUAAAAAAUUACAAAAUAUUAGAAGAAGAUAUAUAUGAAAAGGUAUUAAAAAAUAAAGUGGAAGAAACAAUAUACGGUUUGCAUGCACCUUUGC
rnacentral:lncRNA from 1 species